AUUGAUAUCCUUUAGCCUUCUUAUUCAAUUGAGCUUUAUAUUACUGCUUUGAAUUCUUGUAUGCUCUUGUCCUUAAAAUUAUUUGCAUUCCUGAAAACUAUUGUGUAACGUUUAUGCUAUAUCGUAUUGACUCAUAUAGGCACAUGUGUAUCCCAUCGUUCCGCUUUUGCUUUCGAUAUGUGCCUAUUCCAUUUCAUUCCAAAAUCUGAAUACAUUUGUGAGAGAUUUGUUCCUUGCAUCCUAUUUGACUCGUAAAGGCACAUGUACGUUUGUUGUUCCGCGUGUGCUUCCGAUAUAUGCUAUUUAUUGUUCAUACUGCCCUUUUGUACUCUGGUGUGUGGGAUUGUCUGGACCUUUGCCAGAAAUGGUAAAGGGUAUGCGCUUAUUGCCCGCUAUGUGGGGUCCCGCUAUGUGGGAUAUUCUGGACCUUUGCCAGAAAUGGUAAAGGGUAUGUGCUUAGAGCCUGCGAUGCUCUGCCGGCCCCCUUUGACUUCACCUAGACGUGGGUGGAUGGAGCUCCCAGACGUGGGAGACUUUUGUCAGGUGGUCAUUCAGAAAUAGAUGAAUCACAUUCUGACUGAGAUCCCACUACACCUUCUAUAUGUUUGAUAUGAUAUCCAGAGCUUUGGUUAUGUGUUUUUGUACAUGCUUUGGAUAAGAAUGAUAUGAUUCCACGUCCAGGACGACGUUUGAGCUUCUGUACGAUAUUUGUUUUCGAUAUGCUCUGAAAUGCUUCAUUCACUGAUGAUAUGCUUCGAAAUGUUCCAUAUGCCGUUGAUAUGCUCUAGAACAUUUCAUAUGCCAUUGAUAUGCUCCAAUUACUCUGUGCUCCAUUUGCUAUGAACUGAUAUGUUCUGAAAUGUCCUAUCUGCCAUUGAUAUGUUCCAAUUACUCUGUGCUCCAUUUGCUAUGAACUGAUAUGUUCUGAAAUGUCCUAUCUGCCAUUGAUAUGUUCCAAUUACUCUGUGCUCCAUUUGCUAUGAACUGAUAUGUUCUGAAAUGUCCUAUCUGUCAUUGAUAUGUUCCAAUUACUCUAUGCUCCAUUCGUUAUGGAUCAAAUAUGUUUUGAAUGACAUGAUACGUAUGAUUUGGUAUCUAUUGAGAUGGUAUCCUUGAGAAUUCUUGUAUUCUGCCUUGCAUUAUGAUACCUUACUCGUUUCAAACCGUUCGUUUUGUUCUGAAUAUGCUUUGUCACUUGCUGAGCCGUUUUUGGCUCACUCCGUUGUUAUAUAAAUCUUUCAGGUCAGCUUGUCACUCUUCGAGAUGUUUGAUUUGGGUUGAGGCAGUGGAUAGCUAUUCAGAAUGAUGGGCAAGUCUGGUUGGUUAUUACGAUAUUGUUGUAUAAGUAUGUCUUGUAUGUAAUGAAAUGUUGUCGAUGAACCGAAAUAGAUAUACUGUGUCAAAGUGUUAGGAGAUCUCUCUUAUUUGGAAUUUCUGAAUGUUAAGUCUAAUUUAUGAUAAUAUGAACUUGUGGUGAAUAGUUGGAGUUCUGAUUGUAUAAUUUAUUUAGCUUGUGGAUUUAUAAAUGUUGUUCAUGUUUGUCAAGUUGGCUUGGGUUACCAUAAAUGUGAAUUAUCGAGUGAUGUGAUAUAUGAUUAUAAACUGCACAAGUUUUAUAGAUGUGAAUAUGAAUAGAAUGUUUUUCAGUGUCCUCAAACGUUAGUUUGGAUCCUGGAAUGGUCUGUGAUGAAAAUUUUAAAAAUCAUGGAUAUUUUGAGGGGCGUGACAGU
rnacentral:lncRNA from 1 species